GGUGUUUAUAAACUUGUUCAAGCUUGACGCCUUUAUUUUCUAAUAUACAUUUCUGAAAUUCCCACAAGGAUUUCAACAUCAUAUCUGAAAUGAGAAAAAAACUAAACAAAAAAAAAACACGUUUAUUUGUGUUUAAAUUCAAACAACACAGACUAAACCUGAUUGGUUCCAGAGCCAUUGAACGACUCUGAUUGGUUCGUAUGAUAAUGAGCUCGCAGCAGAGAGCUUCGUAAAUCAAAUAUGAUGUGCGUGCAAAUGUCCCUUGAAUGUGAAUAUAAGUCUAAAUUUAAACAGUGUUAUAUUAUAUAGAGCGAUCGUGUCUCUUUAGGGCGCUUGGAGGAAACCACGCAAUUCAUAUGGAUUACUUUGGCGAUGUUUUUUUGCGAUGAACUUUUUGAAACGUGAACAUCUUUGAUGAAUCUUUUCAUCGGAGGGACAUUCAUCUCUCAGAUUUCAUUAAAAUAUCUCCGCUUUUCUUUCGAAGAUGAACGAAAGUCUUAGAUGGUUUGGAGCAUCUUAAGGCUUCUGCGAGCGUGUAUGGCGUCUGGCUUCAGAACCUCACUGCGACUUCAGAUAAGAACAAAGAUUAAAUUGUAAGAAGAGCUGCUUGUAAGAGCAUACAGUACAUCUGAAACUGCUGAGACUGAUCAGCUGCUAUAGAAGACAAAAUGAAAUCUGAGUGCAGAGACAUGCAAAGGAAUACUGCAAGGCACUACUGACUAGGCUGUGCCCAGGUCUCCGGAACCUGCGGCGACGCUCAGCUCCGUUGGCCCUUAGUCUGCGCCUUCAGGUCCACCAGCUCUGUCUCCAUCGGUCGGCCCCCAGAUGUCGGCAGCCACACCAUCUACAUCUUGGCUCCUCCCUCCCUCGACUCCGCCAUGUGUUGUCAGCACUGGGAUGCUCUGGGUCUGUGCCAUGUGCCAAACACCAUCUAAGCCGCCAGGGCAUCAUCGUCAUCCUCCCAUCACCAUCCCUUCACCACAUCCUGCCAUCAUCCCGCACCUUUGCCUCUCUCCAUCCCUACACCAUCUCCUCGUCCACCUCCAAAACCCCCUCCAUCCCUCCCUAUUCUUUUGCUUGAACUUUAUCAUCUUCAGUCUUUGCACACACAUCUAUUCACUUUACAUGUUUUUUUUUCUUCAGAAAAUUGCAUUGUAAUUUUUAUUUAUUCAUUGAUGUAAAAUUCUUUACUUUUCAGUAAUACAGUCAGGUAUAACUGAAAUGU